AUACGGAGGGUGCAAGCGUUACUCGGAAUCACUGGGCGUAAAGCGCGCGCAGGCGGGCUGAUAAGUUGGAUGUGAAAGCCUACGGCUCAACCGUAGAACUGCAUCCAAAACUGUCAGUCUAGAGUCUGGGAGGGGAAGAUGGAAUUAGUUGUGUAGGGGUAAAAUCCGUAGAGAUAACUAGGAAUACCAAAAGCGAAGGCGAUCUUCUGGAACAGUACUGACACUGAGGCGCGAAAGCGUGGGGAGCAAACAGGAUUAGAAACCCUAGUAGUCC
rnacentral:rRNA from 1 species